GUGAAGGAAAAGAUUCGAUACAUCUUACGCCGUAAUUUCUUCAUGGCCAAGACCUGUUGAGACAAGUUUUCGCGAUGGAAUCAGCCUGCGGAUGAGACUGUGUUUUAAGUUUUAACCGUGGAAGGGAAAACACAGGAAUUUAUUAAAU
ensembl:ncRNA W06B11.10 ncRNA